GUCUGUCUUCAUUAUACCGCCAUCUCCGGUAUAUUUUAUAAUCUCGUAAUUUUCCUUUCAAAAGUGACACUGCCACCAGAGAAACACCUCAUUCCUGGAUAAAUGACUCAUAGUCAACGAGAAGAAAAUGAAGCAUCAUGUCACAGAUCCCAUAAGAGGCCAGCAAAUGUGAUCGUCUAUUCAUACACCACUGUUAUUUGUCUAUAAGAGACUGACAGUAGAAGAAGUAUAGUGCUGACAGCUUUGUUACAUAUCAAACAAAUCUCAAGCUAUUUGGUUAAAGCUGAAUUGAUAAAAUGUCUGUAAUAUGGUGACUUGCUUAUUUCCUAUGAUAUUUUUAUUGUUGCUAAAAAUGCUCGAUUUUGCAAAAAUGUUGUGGAAAAGUACUUGAAAUGGUGAAAUUGCAAGCACACAAAGACACAUAAUUUACUUGCUAUAAGAACUGUACUCAUGUUCAGUGCAUGUAAAACAAAGAGGGCUUUGGCUGAAUGAGUGUUAUGUUGUUGUGCACUAUGAACACCUUGAUCUGUAGUAACAAAAUUUUGUUCUUAUCUAUACUGUGUAUAUGGAAAAAUGACAAUAAAUUUGAGUUGACAAUAAA